AUAUAUAAUAUACUAUAUUUUAUUCUACAUAUUAUAUAAACCUGCAUAGUAGUGGCGGUUACAGUAAAUUUACCAUGUAUAUCCAAAAUUCUAAAAUCUGUGGGCACCCACGACCCGUUUCACAAUAUUACCCAGUCUACAGAAUUUAAUUGUUUUCAUUGUGUUUUUUGUAACUAUACAUAUUGUAGCAUUUUACAUAGCCAUUCAAACACACGGCAAACACCUACCCACUUACCCACCAAUACCAUGUGUAUCUGUUGAUACACUUGAGGUAUAGGAUAGCCGCCACUGAUACAUAAACUGCUAAACAUAUAUUUUAACUAGUCUAACUUGUAAUAAUACUAUCCCUUUUAUAACAAUAUAGAUACCUACCUACAUUUAAAGUGUUUGUAUAUUUAAUUUUUUUCAGUUAUUAUCAUAUUCAUAUAUUAUUAUACAAUAUAAUAAUCCAAUAAUCCCAAGCUAUAAAGCAAUAAUUACAGAACAAACAUUAGGAAUAUUUUAUAUCGAAUAAGAGCACCGAUAUAAAUAUACUUCUAACCCAAAGACACUUAUGUUUGCAGCAGUUAUUUGUGUUAACCAAAAAUCUUGUAUGUAGCCAAAUAAAAAUGCUUGUAAGCGUUCGCGAAUUGCUGGUUGUUGGUUAACAUAAUCUACAAUUAUUCGAAAACCAUCAAACAUUGUGAAACUGCAAUUCAUUUGGGGUUCAGCAGGAAGAUGAGCCUCAACACUUGUCUGAAAUAGAUGGAAUAGACUGUUCAUACUUCUUUUGCAGUACCGGAUAACAGACUAUAUAAUUUGAUUGAGUACUCAGUUGCUCAAAAAU